UACGUAGGGGGGCAAGCGUUGUCCGGAUUUAUUGGGCGUAAAGAGCGUGUAGGCGGUUUGGUAGGUCCGUUGUGAAAACUCGAGGCUCAACCUCGAGACGCCGAUGGAAACCAUCAGACUAGAGUCCGGAAGAGGAGAGUGGAAUUCCUGGUGUAGCGGUGAAAUGCGCAGAUAUCAGGAAGAACACCCGUGGCUAAGGCGGCUCUCUAGUACGGUACUGACGCUGAGACGCGAAAGCGUGGGGAGCAAACAGG
rnacentral:rRNA from 1 species